rnacentral:rRNA from 1 species
CAGUCGCCGCGGUAACACGUAGGGUGCGAGCGUUAAUCGGAAUUACUGGGCGUAAAGCGUGCGCAGGCGGUUGUGUAAGACAGGUGUGAAAUCCCCGGGCUUAACCUGGGAACUGCGCUUGUGACUGCACAGCUAGAGUAUGGCAGAGGGGGGUGGAAUUCCACGUGUAGCAGUGAAAUGCGUAGAGAUGUGGAGGAACACCGAUGGCGAAGGCAGCCCCCUGGGCCAAUACUGACGCUCAUGCACGAAAGCGUGGGGAGCAAACAGGAUUAGAUACCCCCGUAGUCCCUGUCUCUUAUAA